rnacentral:rRNA from 1 species
GAUGAAGAACGCAGCGAAAUGCGAUACGUAGUGUGAAUUGCAGAAUUCCGCGAAUCAUCGAGUCUUUGAACGCAACUUGCGCCCGAGGCUCGUCCGAGGGCAUUCCCGUCAGAGCGUCAACGCG